rnacentral:rRNA from 1 species
CCUACGGGGGGCUGCAGUGGGGAAUUUUGGACAAUGGGCGCAAGCCUGAUCCAGCAAUGCCGCGUGCAGGAAGAAGGCCUUCGGGUUGUAAACUGCUUUUGUCAGGGAAGAAAUCCUCUGGGUUAAUACCUCGGGGGGAUGACGGUACCUGAAGAAUAAGCACCGGCUAACUACGUGCCAGCAGCCGCGGUAAUACGUAGGGUGCGAGCGUUAAUCGGAAUUACUGGGCGUAAAGCGUGCGCAGGCGGUUAUAUAAGACAGAUGUGAAAUCCCCGGGCUCAACCUGGGACCUGCAUUUGUGACUGUAUAGCUAGAGUACGGUAGAGGGGGAUGGAAUUCCGCGUGUAGCAGUGAAAUGCGUAGAUAUGCGGAGGAACACCGAUGGCGAAGGCAAUCCCCUGGACCUGUACUGACGCUCAUGCACGAAAGCGUGGGGAGCAAACAGGAUUAGAUACCCUGGUAGUC